ACUGGUUCUCCGCACAAGGCACCGCGUUCUGACUGGCUGCCUCCUUGCCUCGCUAUCAGUGCUGCUGAUUC